GCUCCUAGUACGAGAGGACCGGAGUGGACGAACCGCUGGUGUUCGGGUUGUCAUGCCAAUGGCAUUGCCCGGUAGCUACGUUCGGAACGGAUAACCGCUGAAAGCAUCUAAGCGGGAAGCCGGCCCAAAGAUGAGUCAUCCCUGACCUUUAAGGUCUGGAAGGGUUGUUAUAGACGAUGACGUUGAUAGGCAGGGUGUGGAAGCGUUGUAAGGCGUUAAGCUAACCUGUACUAAUUGCCCGAGAGGCUUAACCAUACAACGCCUAA
rnacentral:rRNA from 1 species